AAAUUGAAGAGUUUGAUCAUGGCUCAGAUUGAACGCUGGCGGCAGGCCUAACACAUGCAAGUCGAACGGUAACAGGAAGCAGCUUGCUGCUUCGCUGACGAGUGGCGGACGGGUGAGUAAUGUCUGGGAAACUGCCUGAUGGAGGGGGAUAACUACUGGAAACGGUGGCUAAUACCGCAUAACGUCGCAAGACCAAAGAGGGGGACCUUCGGGCCUCUUGCCAUCAGAUGUGCCCAGAUGGGAUUAGCUUGUUGGUGAGGUAACGGCUCACCAAGGCGACGAUCCCUAGCUGGUCUGAGAGGAUGGCCAGCCACACUGGAACUGAGACACGGUCCAGACUCCUACGGGAGGCAGCAGUGGGGAAUAUUGCACAAUGGGCGCAAGCCUGAUGCAGCCAUGCCGCGUGUAUGAAGAAGGCCUUCGGGUUGUAAAGUACUUUCAGCGGGGAGGAAGGUGUUGUGGUUAAUAACCGCAGCAAUUGACGUUACCCGCAGAAGAAGCACCGGCUAACUCCGUGCCAGCAGCCGCGGUAAUACGGAGGGUGCAAGCGUUAAUCGGAAUUACUGGGCGUAAAGCGCACGCAGGCGGUCUGUCAAGUCGGAUGUGAAAUCCCCGGGCUCAACCUGGGAACUGCAUUCGAAACUGGCAGGCUUGAGUCUUGUAGAGGGGGGUAGAAUUCCAGGUGUAGCGGUGAAAUGCGUAGAGAUCUGGAGGAAUACCGGUGGCGAAGGCGGCCCCCUGGACAAAGACUGACGCUCAGGUGCGAAAGCGUGGGGAGCAAACAGGAUUAGAUACCCUGGUAGUCCACGCCGUAAACGAUGUCUACUUGGAGGUUGUGCCCUUGAGGCGUGGCUUCCGGAGCUAACGCGUUAAGUAGACCGCCUGGGGAGUACGGCCGCAAGGUUAAAACUCAAAUGAAUUGACGGGGGCCCGCACAAGCGGUGGAGCAUGUGGUUUAAUUCGAUGCAACGCGAAGAACCUUACCUGGUCUUGACAUCCACGGAAGAAUUCAGAGAUGGAUUUGUGCCUUCGGGAACCGUGAGACAGGUGCUGCAUGGCUGUCGUCAGCUCGUGUUGUGAAAUGUUGGGUUAAGUCCCGCAACGAGCGCAACCCUUAUCCUUUGUUGCCAGCGGUCCGGCCGGGAACUCAAAGGAGACUGCCAGUGAUAAACUGGAGGAAGGUGGGGAUGACGUCAAGUCAUCAUGGCCCUUACGACCAGGGCUACACACGUGCUACAAUGGCGCAUACAAAGAGAAGCGACCUCGCGAGAGCAAGCGGACCUCAUAAAGUGCGUCGUAGUCCGGAUUGGAGUCUGCAACUCGACUCCAUGAAGUCGGAAUCGCUAGUAAUCGUGGAUCAGAAUGCCACGGUGAAUACGUUCCCGGGCCUUGUACACACCGCCCGUCACACCAUGGGAGUGGGUUGCAAAAGAAGUAGGUAGCUUAACCUUCGGGAGGGCGCUUACCACUUUGUGAUUCAUGACUGGGGUGAAGUCGUAACAAGGUAACCGUAGGGGAACCUGCGGUUGGAUCACCUCCUUA
rnacentral:rRNA from 1 species